UAACUUAUGAUUCCUACCCAUCUCUUGUAUAGAAAAUAGUAGCCUUUAAAGAGGGACAGCAAGCAAGCUUUAUAUUGUCAUGGGUUUCUUAAAUGUCGGAAUGAGGAUACUAAGAGUUGACUUAGUGCCAUGUAUGUAGCUAAAUGGGUUAAGGAAGGUACUUAAAUUCCAAUUUUGGAAUUUAAGUGAGCGCAUAAGAGUAUCGGAUAGUAAGGCUUAAUGUGGAAUGAAUUUUAAUGUGUUCAUUUCAUUUCAUUGAAUAUGAGUGUAUUUCAAGAUUCAAGGAACCUAUUUGUAAAGCAUCGAGGUAUGAACGAUGAGGCUGGGGAGCUAGGCACUGCUGAGGAGGGAGGGGCUGAUGCUUAGAAUUCCCUGUCGGUUCAAUUUUAAUGAUAAUGGUUAUGUCUUUAUGUUUUUAUGAUGGGUCCCAUGUUGGGAUGUUUUGUUAGUUUGACUUUAAUACAAUAUGUCCUUGGGUAUGAUGUAAGUACUAUGGUGGGGUGAUGGUAAUGGUGUAACUUCUACAGUGGGGUGACGCUAACCCCACAUAAGAAGGUUAAAUGCCUUUUUGUAUGUGUUAUGGGGACGGAGUCCCCUUUUUAUUGGAACUAGCGAUGUUUUAAAUGAAUGAAUGAUGGACUCUGAGAGUCCUUUGG